rnacentral:tRNA from 1 species
UCCCUGGUGGCUUAGAGGGUAAAGCAUCUGCCUGCAAUACAGGAGACCCGGGUUCGAUCCCUGGGUCGGGAA